GUAGGUGGCAAGCGUUGUCAGGAAUUAUUGGGCGUAAAGCGCGCGCAGGGCGGUCCUUUAAGUCUGAUGUGAAAGCCCACGGCUCAACCGUGGAGGGUCAUUGGAAACUGGGGGACUUGAGUACAGAAGAGGAAAGCGGAAUUCCAAGUGUAGCGGUGAAAUGCGUAGAGAUUUGGAGGAACACCAGUGGCGAAGGCGGCUUUCUGGUCUGUAACUGACGCUGAGGCGCGAAAGCGUGGGGAGCAAACAGGAUUAGAUACCCUGGUAGUCCACGCCGUAAACGAUGAGUGCUAAGUGUUAGGGGGUUUCCGCCCCUUAGUGCUGCAGCUAACGCAUUAAGCACUCCGCCUGGGGAGUACGGCCGCAAGGCUG
rnacentral:rRNA from 1 species